GCGUGGUGGUGGAUUUCGCUGUGGGCCUCUCAUAGGGUACCCAUGCAGAGGAAAAUGCAGCCUUGAACCAUUGCCCAGCUGUGGGCUGUGAGCACUGAAGGGGGUUGUACAGUG
rnacentral:snoRNA from 1 species